AACACUUAAGUAUACACUAAAGCAAAAAAGUUGAAAGGCAAAAGACAAAGAAUUGAGCUUUAUAUAUAUAAUAAACUCCUAAAAAUACAAGAACAAGUCGAAAUUAGCGUGGGUGGCAAUAAUUGAUGGAGGGAAAGUUUCACCGUGAUGGUUGGGUUCCAGCCACAUCGUUUUUCGCUUGUAGGCAGCCCGUGUGAAUAUAUGCAGCAUCUGUCGCAAUAAUUUUGGGCAGUUCCAAAAAGAUUACUACAUGGUCACCAGUAAAAAGGAAAAGAUUACUACAUGGAGACAGGGCUUGAGAUGUGUUUUUUUUUUUUGUGUGGGUGUGUGUGUCUAAAUUGUCUUUAGACGACAAUUUCCUGGGACCGACGGCUGCUCGUGGCGUCCAUUGAAGAUGCUAGUAUAUGAAGAG
rnacentral:lncRNA from 1 species